rnacentral:rRNA from 1 species
AUACGGAGGAUCCGAGCGUUAUCCGGAUUUAUUGGGUUUAAAGGGUGCGCAGGCGGGAGAUUAAGUCGGCGGUGAAAUUUUGCAGCUCAAAUGUAAAAGUGCCUUCGAAACUGGUUUUCUUGUGUGGAGAUGAAGUAGGCGGAAUUUGUGGUGUAGUGGGGAAAUGCAUAGAUAUCACGAGUAACUCCGAGUGCGCAGACAGCUUAGUAAACUACUACGGACGCUCAGGCACGAAGGCAUUGAGAUCAAACAGGAUUAGAUACCGUGGUAGUCCACGCAGUAAACGUUGAUCACUAGCAGUUUGCGAUACAAUGUAAGCGGCUGAGCGAAAUCGUUUAGUAGUCCCCCUGGGGAGUACGUUCGCAAGACGGAUACGCAAAGGAAUUGACGCGG